rnacentral:ncRNA from 2 species
CUUCACGAGAUGUGACCCGCAACACACCGGCAGCCUGUCGGUGUACAGCACGGCUCCGACCGGUCACGCACCAACCCCAUGUUCGCUGGGUGGUUCGGAUGACGAAGCGGCCUGCAUUUUCGCAGAACAACGAGGUUCUGAAAGGGGACUCGGUGCGGGCAAGAACAACUG